rnacentral:rRNA from 1 species
CCCUUAGAUGUUCUGGGCAGCACGCGCGCUACAAUGGUCUUCGCAAACGGAUGCAUUCUCGAAGGAGAAUGCCAAUCUUGGAAUCUAUGCCUUGGUCGGGACAGUUGCUUGCAAUUUUUCGACUCGAACCAGGAAUUCCUUGUAAUCGUGAUUCAUCACAUCACGAUGAAUACGUCCCUGCCCUUUGUACACACCGCCCGUCGCUCCUACCGAUUGAAUGGUCCGGUGAAGCGCUCGGACCGCGGCCUCUUGACGGUUCGCUGUCGAUUGGCUGUGGGAAGUUCGUUAAACCUUAUCAUUUAGAGGAAGGAGAAGUCGUAACA